UAACAUUCAACAACAACGACUGGUUUGAAAACUAGCUUGGACGUUAUUAUAAAUACAGCUCUUAAGUAACUAUGAAUAUUGACCCAAGUUCAUCUGCAGCUUGAACUAACAAGCAUAAUGUAAACAACCAUGAAUCAAUAGACUAUACCUCAAGCUAUACAUAAGUGAGCUUGGAGAUGUGAUGCCUGAGAAGACUAGUUCUAACGUAAAUGGACUGUACUAACAAACACAUAGCUCUCAAAUGCACUCAACCAAAUAAACUCACAACUAAUAUUUACAUAUGAAAAUGGUGCAAACGAAUAGCUUAAAGAUGAUUUAAUGCCAUAAAUUCCAAAGAUUUCCAUUCCUUCAUUUCAUUCCCACUCGAGCAUCAAAUUACAUAGUUUAAGAAAUAUGUACCUGAAAAUGAGGAACAUAGGUUAAAUGUUAUUAGCAACCACAAACAGAGAUCAACAACAUGGAACCAAUUCAGUGAAUCAAUUUUAAAAACCCAGAAACAAAGCUCAACCAAUCUACUAGAACAGUUUACUUGAAUAUAACCCACAAAACUAUAAAACCAGGCCUUAAAACCAGAUUCAAUCCAUCUUUUAAACCUUAGAUAUACCCAACGAUUGUUUCAGAAGCUGGCAAAAGAGCAAUGGAACAGUAGAUUUUUUUGUGAUUUCAGCUGUUUCAGAAAUCAAAACCUUCAAGAAUUUCAGAAAAAAGAAACUUUAAUGGACUAGUAGAAUUCUGUAGGUUUUUGUAUUUAUUUGGCUCUCCAAUCUUUUUUUUUUCUUCAGAAUUUCCUUGCUCAAAGUCCUCUUUCAAGGCUAAGAAGAACAUGCCUUUAUAGGCAACUAACUAGGGAAAACUUCAUAUUUUAAAUUUACCCUUUUAGUCCGCCGUAUUUUCUCUUUUAGCCGGUUAGUCCUUCACUUUAUGCUUUGAAACUCAAGCUAAGACUAAACUUUUAUUAUUAGACCUCUACUAGAAACUUUUAGAGGUGUUACCAAAAGAUUCCUUAGGUGUAAUGUCCAGUUUACCCCUCAGUUACCCUGUUAUUUACCCUCUAAUUUUUGAAGCAGCCUGGGUUCAAAUGGAUACUUAGUUAAGACUAAACUAAAUUGAUUUAAAUAAUAUACAAGACCAACAACCAACUUUUAUUUAAACUCAGGAGCAAAAACUUAAUGAAACUCAAAUUGAACUCAGAACUUUAGAUAGAUGAAAUUACACCAACAGAAAAAGCCAAACCACUCGACCGAAUCUGAUUAAUCUUGUGAAAUUCAACCUAACAAAAGGACUAAGACUAAUUGACCCAGGAACUUAACAUGCAAUUUAACCCAAUAAAAUAAAUCUGACUAAAACUAAUUAAGCUCAGAGAUUAUUAUGAAAUUCAGCUUCAAAAAAGAAAAAUAAACAAAUUAACUCAAGAACUUAUGAAACCCACGCCACAAACAGACUCAACUAGGACUGAUCAACUUAGUCAUUAAACAAUAAAAACUAAAAGCUUAUUAGUUCAGGGACUUAAGAUGAAAUCAAAUCAACAAACCAGGAAUAACUUUGACUAAGACUAAUUAAACAUAGAUAUUAGACAAGAGAAACUAAAGCUUAUUAGUUCAGGGACUUAACAUUAAACCUAAACCAACAAACCAAAAAUAAACUCGAUUUGGAUAAAUGACUCGACUUAAAUCUAACAAGCUGACAUAGAAGAGAUGCAGAGAGAGAUUAGAAAGUAAACAGAAAAACUUAGCUUAAUUAUUUGAGUAGAAUCCUGGAAAUCUUCAUGCACCACCUGUAAUGACUCCGGAAAACAAUAGAUUCAGAUUUUGGGGAGUUGUGGGGAUAUUUGAGGGAAGCUGGCUGUGGAUUUGAGGUGAGAGAGGUGAGGAGGUUGUAGGGUGUAUUUUGUGGGCUGUUUAGUGGUGGUAGGGUUUUAGCCGUCUCAUUCGAAUCAAUAUUCAAAACGAUCAAGGGGUGUUUGAGGGAUACUGAGUGGGGAUUUGGCAUGAGGGAGAGGAGGGGGCCAUUUGGUGUUAAUUUGGGAACGGUUGGGUGGCGGCGUCGCCGGCUUCAGCGGAAGGUUAGAAUCUCUGGCUAAUUUGAGGAGCUGGGAUGGUAUUUGAAUGAAGGUGAUUACAUAUUUGAGUAAAGGAGAAG
rnacentral:lncRNA from 1 species